rnacentral:rRNA from 1 species
UACGGGGGGGGCAAGCGUUGUUCGGAAUUACUGGGCGUAAAGGGCUCGUAGGUGGCCAACUAAGUCAGACGUGAAAUCCCUCGGCUUAAUCGGGGAACUGCGUCUGAUACUGGAUGGCUUGAGUUUGGGAGAGGGAUGCGGAAUUCCAGGUGUAGCGGUGAAAUGCGUAGAUAUCUGGAGGAACACCGGUGGCGAAGGCGGCAUCCUGGACCAACACUGACACUGAGGAGCGAAAGCCAGGGGAGCAAACGGG